UACGUAGGGGGGCUAGCGUUGUCCGGAAUCAUUGGGCGUAAAAGAGCGUGUAGGCGGUCCGGUAAGUCCGCUGUGAAAAGUCGGGGGGGCUCAACCCUCGAAUGCCGGUGGAUACUGUCGGGCUAGAGUGCGGAAGAGGCGAGUGGAAUUCCUGGUGUAGCGGUGAAAAUGCGCAGAUAUCAGGGAGGGAAACACCCUAUUUGCGAAAGGCAGCUCGCUGGGGACGUAAACUGACGCUGAGACGCGAAAAAGCGUGGGGGGAGCAAAACAGG
rnacentral:rRNA from 1 species